GAUGGACGCUGGCGGCGUGCCUAAUACAUGCAAGUCGAGCGAACGGAUAAGGAGCUUGCUCCUUUGAAGUUAGCGGCGGACGGGUGAGUAACACGUGGGUAACCUACCUAUAAGACUGGAAUAACUUCGGGAAACCGGAGCUAAUGCCGGAUAACAUUUGGAACUGCAUGGUUCUAAAGUAAAAGAUGGUUUUGCUAUCACUUAUAGAUGGACCCGCGCCGUAUUAGCUAGUUGGUAAGGUAACGGCUUACCAAGGCAACGAUACGUAGCCGACCUGAGAGGGUGAUCGGCCACACUGGAACUGAGACACGGUCCAGACUCCUACGGGAGGCAGCAGUAGGGAAUCUUCCGCAAUGGACGAAAGUCUGACGGAGCAACGCCGCGUGAGUGAUGAAGGUUUUCGGAUCGUAAAACUCUGUUAUUAGGGAAGAACAAAUGUGUAAGUAACUGUGCACAUCUUGACGGUACCUAAUCAGAAAGCCACGGCUAACUACGCGCCAGCCGCCGCGGUAA
rnacentral:rRNA from 1 species